CCUACGGGCGGCAGCAGUGAGGAAUAUUGGUCAAUGGCCGGAAGGCUGAACCAGCCAUGCCGCGUGAAGGUCAGUGCCCUAUGGGCGUUAAACUUCUUUUGUGCGGGAGCAAUAAUGGUCACGUGUGGCCAGACGAGAGUACCGUACGCAUAAGCAUCGGCUAACUCCGUGCCAGCAGCCGCGGUGAUACGGGGGGUGCAAGCGUUAACCGGAUUUAUUGGGUUUAAAGGGUGCGUAAGCUGUGAGGUAAGGCAGCGGUGAAAUGCCCCCGCUCAACGGGGUGAAGUGCCAUUGAUACUGCCUUGCUGGAGUGCGGAUGCGGUGGGAGGAAUGUGUGGUGUAGCGGUGAAAUGCAUAGAUAUCACACAGAACACCGAUUGCGAAGGCAUCUCACUGGUCCGCGAUUGACGCUGAUGCACGAAAGCGUGGGUAUCAAACAGGAUUAGAUACCCGGGUAGUC
rnacentral:rRNA from 1 species